CAGCGCAGACCAUUUGACUGUAAGGCGCCAUUUUACACUACUCGUACUCCAGAUUAACUACCUGGGUCUGAUUGGUGGUGUUGAUGUAAGAGACACCGUAUGGAGAGUGUUAAAAGCCACUUUCUCAACCACUGUGGCACGUGGCAUGAAUUGGAGAGGAGUAAAUGGCAAGGUGUGUUUCCAGCGCCUGGUCCUGAAAGAAGUUGUCAUUGGUGCAGUCAGGCAGAAUCCACAAACACGUCUACCCAAAAGGAGAUCGAACUAACCAUUUUAAAAUGGCUGCAUCUGGCUGGAGACCGUG